rnacentral:rRNA from 1 species
AGAAUACUUGGUGUGAAUUGCAAAGUGCCGUGAACCAUGGAGUCUUUGAACGCAAGUUGCGCCCGAAGCCAUUAGGCCGAGGGCACGUCUGCCUGGGCAGUCA